rnacentral:tRNA from 1 species
GCGGGGGUAGCUCAGUCGUACAGCUCCCGCCUCGUAUGCGGGAACACCUGGGUUCGAUUUCCAGCUGCUUCA